rnacentral:lncRNA from 1 species
ACUCAGCAAAACAAGGUUUCUCAUUAAGGCACAUCCUCCUUAGAAGGUUAUAGAGCCAGGAGGCCGAAUAUGCACAUACUGCAAGGAACUUCGUAUGGCAUUUGUUUCACUAGGGAUACAAAUGAAGUCCACAUGUAAUUGAUUGAUGGAGUCUUGCUCUGUCUCCCAGGGUGGAGUGCAAUGGUGCCAUCUCGGCUCACUGCAACCUCCACCUCCCGGGUUCAAGUGAUUCUCCUGCCUCAGCCUCCUGAGUAGCUGGGACUACAGGUGCGCGCCACCAAGUCUGGCUAAUUUUUGUAUUUUUAGUAGAGAUAGGGUUUCACCAUGUUGGCCAGGCUGGUCUUGAACUCCUCACCUCAAGUGAUCUGCCUGCCUCGGCCUCCCAAAGUGUUGGGAUUACAGGCGUGAGCCACCGCGCACAGCCAAGACGUAUUAAAUUAAUAAUAUUUAUAAGCUCCUUCUUUUUCCCAAAGUCAGAAGUUCCACACAUGCUCAAGGUCAGGGGUUGUUAAUGAAGAAAACCUAAGGUAACCGAAGUAAUGAUGUUUGUGUAGUGCUUAAUAAUCUACAAAAAUUUGUGGGUUUUUUUUUUUUUUUUUUUUUUUUGAGAUGGAGUCUCGCUCUGUCACCCAGGCUGGAGUGCAGUGGCACGAGCUCAGCUCACUGCAACCUCCGCCUCCUGGGUUCAAGCGAUUCUCCUGCCUCAGCCUCCCCAGUACCUGGGAUUACAGGCACACACCACCAUGCCUGGUUAAUUUUUGUAUUUUUUUAGUAGAGACGGGGUUUCACCAUGUUGGCCAGGCUAAUCUUGAACUCCUGACCUUGUGAUUUGCCCGCCUCUGCCUCCCAAAGUGCUGGGAUUACAGGCGUCCACCACCACAACCGGCUAAUUUUUUGUAUUUUUAGUAGAGACAGAGUUUCACCAUGUUGGCCCGGCUGGUCUUGAGCUCCUGACCUCACGUGAUCCACCCACCUCAGCCUCCGAAAGUGCUGGGAUUACAGGCGUGAGCCACCACGCCUGGCCCUACAAAAAGAGAACCGUGGAACCCAGCGACUAGUGUUCAGCUCAGUUAGGACGAACCCAGGCACUUAGCCAUGCAGGAACAAUGGCAAGACUUUAGCGCAAUCAGAGCGGCAAUGGGCGCAUCGCUGGAUCAGGAGCACAGUGGACACCCUGCUGGAUCCGGAGGCCAAAGCUCAGCUCCAGCCGUAACAAUCAUGGACCAGAAGAGUGUGCAGUUGCAAGAUUUAAUAGAGUGAAAACAGAACUCCCAUACAAAGGGAGGGGACCCAAAGAGGGUAGCCGUUGCUGGCUCCAAUGCCUGGGUUUAUAUCCCGAUCAUUGUCCCUCCCCCUGUGCUCUCAGCCCAUAGAUGAUUGGCUAUUUCUUUAUCUUCUGUUUUUGCAUAAUUAGCAUUUUAAUGAACUCUCUUUACUACCUGAUUGGUAGUAAAUUGGUAGUGUGAGCUAAGUUGCAAGCCCCGUGUUUAUGUGGUCACCUUCCCAGCUAGGCUUAGGGAUUCUUAGUCAGCCUGGGAAAUCCAGCUAGUCCUAUCUCUCAAUAAUACAUUGUUCUGUCUGGAAUUAUUACAUUUCCGCAUAGUCUCUACUCCAGUCUCCCGAGGAAGGAACUAUGCAAUGUUUUCAUCUGAACCACAAGGCCCGCCACAGUCCAUGGCAAUCUCACUCUGUCACCCAGGCUGGAAUGCACCAUCUCGACUCACAGCAACCUCAGCCUCCCAAGUUCAAGCGAUUCUUCUGCCUCAGCCUCCCGAGUAGCUGGGACUACAGGAGUGGGUCACCACGCUGGGCUGAUUUUUUUGUAUUUUUAGUAGAGAGAGGGUUUCACCAUGUUGGCUAGGCUGGUCUCGAACUCCUGACCUCAAGUGAUCCUCCCAUCUCGGCCUCCCAAAGUGCUGGGAUUACAGGCCUGAGCCACCUAGCCUGGCCCUUAUUCUUAUUCUUUUUUUUUUUUUUUUUUUUUUUUGAAACAGAGUCUUGCUCUGUCGCCCAGGCUGGAGUGCAGUAGCACAAUCUUGGCUCACUGCAACCUCUGCCUCCCUGGGUUCAAGCAAUUCUCCUGCCUCAGCCUCCUGAGUAGCUGGGACUACAGGUGCGUGCCACCAUGCCCGGCUAAUUUUUGUAUUUUUAGUAGAGACUGGGUUUCACCAUAUUGGCCUGGCUGGUCUCAAACUCCUGACCUUGUGAUCCGCCCGCCUCGAAUAAAAGCCGCUUCAAUAGAGGUGCUCAAAGAAGGAAUGACAGGAACUUCCCUUCUAAUGAAAAUCUAGCAUAAGAUGUCCUCCUUUUUCAAAGGAAAACUGGUCCUUGCACUCCUUUUCUGGCAUUAUGACCUUACAGUCUUUCCUGUCAGGAAAAGAUUUCCAACCUGAUACCUGGUACCAUUCAUAUAAACAGUACAAGCCAUGACAGCAUCGCUCCAGCUUCCUCAUCUCAUUCAGCUUUUCCCUUUUCAGUUUUCCUACAAGGGGCUAGAAUGGAGAUAGCAUAGGUAGAUUCUUAUACAUCUAGCUGUCUUGCUAAAGUAGUGCUGUAAAAACAAAUUCAUGAUGGCAAUUUCCUCAAAGGAAAGGGUCAAAAGUGGGCCAAGUAAUUUAAUUUUGAAAGUGAUUUUAGGACAGGAAAUCAGGGAUUGUUUGUGGGUAACUCAGGGAGGGCUGAGGAUUGUGAUGAAGGCACAGAUCCUACACCACUUCAGACUUCGUGGGGUCGACCCCUACGAAGCAAAGCUUGUAAGCCCUUUGUAGAAGAGUAUCUUACUUUCAGGCCUCUGACUGUCAGUCCUCUGCUCUGGUUAAUAUCAUCAAGGGAAUCCUUGCCUGACAGAAUGUAAUUUGGGAUCUAUUAAAUAUGAUUACUUGCCCUUGAAAAUGAUGGAUAUUGGACAGAAUUAUAGAAUCACUUCACAAAAGAAAAGUCUCUUUUACAUCCUUUCUUGUGGAGCCUAAAAUGAAGCCUGGGGAAAUCCCUCAGAGGGUUGUGGCAUUUAUAGGUUAGGUUUAUGAAAAAGGGAAUUGAUAUUCAUAUUAAAAACUGUAAAAAUUGAGCAAGGUGGAGAUAGUGAGCAUGCAGACAGCUGUGACGUGUGUCUGAAGGGUGAGUGGCAUGUUGGCCAACCGAUUUAUUUGCUUUAAUUAUAUUAGUAAUGCGAAAGCUGACAUGAUUCGAAACAAGCUCUUUGGGUUUUUCAUUCCAAUACUAGCCCCAAGUGACUAUUUUUUAUGGUCCUCCCAAUUUCCAAUUACUUAAGUGUUCAUAGCAGAAAUGCUUCAGAGUUCAUUGCUGGGUUUGCUUUGGAGGUGGCCUGUGCUUGAGUUUUUACUUAAUUAAAUUUUGGUCCUGAUUAUAAAAGUAAUAUACGGCCAUUGAAAAAAAUGCAAAACAUAAAAAAUUGCAAAGAAGAAAUUAAAACUCACUAAUAAUUCUGCUACCCAGAGAUUGCCACUAACAUUUUCCUGUAUACCUUCUAGCCUUUUCAUAUAUAUGUAUAUAUACAAUACGCACACAUAUAUAUACAUACAUACAUACAUACAGGUAUAGUUCUUUUAUUUUUAUUAUUUAAUUGGGCAUAAUUAUCAAUUAAGUAAUAUCAAAAAAGUAAUACCAAAACAGUAAUAUGUACUGUUUUGUAAUUUUUUUAACCUUAAUACUAUAGCAGACCAUAUUCCCAUAUAUUUAGGUAUUAUUCUAUAAUGAGAUAUUUAGUGGUUAUAUAUUAUUCAUUGUGUGUAUGUAACAUCAAUUUUUAAAAUAAUCUGCAGUUGUGGCCAGGCGCGGUGGCUCACGCCUGUAAUCCCAGCACUUUGGGAGGCCUUGGCAGGUGGAUCACGAGGUCAGGAGUUCAAGACCAGCCUGGCCAAGAUGCUGAAACCCCGUCUCUACUAAAAAUACAAAAAAUUAGCCAGGCGUGGUGGCACACGCCUGUAAUCCUAGCUACUCCGGAGGCUGAGGCAGAGAAUUGCUUAAACCUGGAGGGGCGGAGCUUGCAGUGAGCCGAGAUCGCGCCACUGCACUCCAGCCUGGGCGACAGAGGGAGACUCCAUCUCAAAUAAUAAUAAUAAUAAUAAUAAUAAUAAUCUGCAGUUUAUGGGAAUUUAGGAGACCUAGUUACAUUUUUUAAAGCCAUUAUCAGAUAACUCUUUGUAAACAUCCCUAGCUAUUUAGGAUAUUUUCCAGACGAGUCACAGUGCCUCAAAGUUUGCAAAAUAAUCAGGCUUUUACAUGUAGCUGAAUUGCACAUUUCUCUUAUGCAAUUUCUACAUUACAGUACUUCUUCACUAUAUCUUCUGUUUAUCUUGCCAAGACCAAAAACAACGGAAGUAGCAGAUGGAAUUGAGAUUACCACUAUUACAUUUCUGUUUGGCCGUGAAUUUUGUGUAACAGAUAAGGUGAGAGCAGCAUUCAAAUUCUAAAUUACCUCAAAAUAAAAGGAAUUAGAGAGGAGGAAAUGGGGAGUUACUGUUUAAUGGGUGUAAAGUUUUCGUUUUGCAAGAUGAAAGGAGUCCUGGAGAUGGAUGGUGGUGAUGGUUGCCCAAUAAUAUGAAUGUACUUAAUACCAAUGAAUUGUAUACUUAAAAAUGGUUAAGAUAGUAAAUUUUAUGUUACGUAUAUUUCACAAUAAAAACAUGGGGAACUGGAAAAACGAGAAAGCAAAUGGAAAAAGUCUUCACUAUUUGUGUUGCAGAGGAGCACAUUUAGAAAUAAGAAAUUGUUUUUAUCCCUCAGGCAAAAAAGAAAAAAAAGGAUAGGCUUGCCAUAUUCCAUGAUGUUGCAAUGCUAUAGUGGGUGAAGCCAUAAUCAUAAUUAACAUUUAUAUGGCAUGAGUUACAGUUUACAAGUGCUUUUGUACACAUAAUAUCAUUGGCAUAAUAACCUUGUGAAAUAGUUGAAAUAGUUAAUUAUCUUCACUUUGUGUAUGAGAACUCUGAGACUAAGGUCAAAUAACUUCCCAAGGUGAUAUAGCUGGCAAAGAGCAGAAGCAAAACAUCAUUCCAGGGCCCUAAUUCUUGCCACAACCAUCUUCUAUGAAAUAUACUCCCAUGUCGGCAGCGAAACUCUUAUGCUGGCAAAACCAUCAGAUGUUUUCACUUGAAAAGUCAAAUAUUUCGUAUAUAAACUGACAAGGACAAAUAUAUUUAAAUUGUGUUCAAAGAAAAUCUUUAACUUAGAAAACCUACUUCUGGCCAGGCGCAGUGGCUCACGCCUGUAAUCGCAGCACUUUGGGAGGCCGAGGUGGGCUGAUCACCUGAGGUCAGGAGUUCAAGACCAGCCCGGCCAACAUGGUGAAACCCUGUCUCUACUAAAAAUUAAAAAAAAAGAAAAAGAAAUACAAAAAUUAGCCGGGCAUGGUGGCAGGUGCCUGUGAUCCCAGCUACUCGGGAGGCUGAGGCAGGAGAAUUGCUUGAACCUGGGAGAUGGAGAUUGCAGUGAGAUGAGAUCGCACCACCAUACUCUAGCCUAGGCGACAGAGUGAGA